GGACUACCGGGGUAUCUAAUCCCGUUCGCUCCCCUGGCCUUCGCCCCUGAGCGUCAGGUGCCUCCCAGGACACUGCCUUCGCCUUUGGUGUUCCUCCGGAUCUCUACGCAUUUCACCGCUCCACCCGGACUUCCAUGUCCCUCUGAGGCCCUCCAGUCGCACCGUCUUGGGAGCACUCCGGCAGGUAAGCCGCCGACUGUCACCCCCAACGCGCACGACCGCCUGCGGGCGCUUUACGCCCAGUAACUCCGGACAACGCUCGCCCCCUACGUCUUACCGCGGCGGCUGGCAC
rnacentral:rRNA from 1 species